rnacentral:lncRNA from 1 species
GGAGUUGAAUUCAUUGUAAAUUGUGUUGCACUAAAUUGGGGACGAAUAUAAUCCUAAGGACAGAGCCUUGUCGUUUGAUUUGUAGGCUGCAUUCAAAUUUGUUCAUACAGCAUGGUUCCAACACAUCAUACAGAAGAAUUUAGACAUGUACAACACUAGAAACUCGACUCACAAUUUUUUCAGAAAAUAUUUGAAAAAUUACAGAAGCAAUAGCCUCGCACACAAACACAAACUAUAAAUAGAAAACCGAAUCCCAAAUUGCAAUAAAGUAAUGAAAAUGCUUCUGCGCCCAACUAGGGUGAAUUAAUGGGGGGAGUUGACCCCCUUUGUCGGGGAAGGAGACGGACUAGGACUGCCCAGGGCAGCACCGGUAAGGACAGUAUCUGCUGCAGCUGCUGAUGCUGAUGCGACGAGGAUGGGGCAGCACGAACUCAGACCGUACAGGUCACAGCAUGAUGUGCCCGAGCCAGUAUUGUAACGGAACUGGGCUUGUUCAGUCGUCAUGAUAACAAGGAACAAAAUGAUUAUGCUAAUUACUUGUUUUUGCUUUGCCAUGAAAGCCAUCUUGUUAAUUUUUUGACAAGGAAAUCUCUCUCUCUCUCUUGCAAAAGGACUUGUUAGUUUAUAACUUUUGUGUGAGGGGAUGGUGUUAGCUAAUAUGGACUAUAUAUAGAGGAUGAUAUGUAUAUGGUUGUGAUUGUUACGGUAAGUCAGGGGCGGAUAGAGGUAGAGGGCAGCAUAGACACUUGUCUA